AGUCAUAUGCUUGUCUCAAAGAUUAAGCCAUGCAUGUCCAAGUAUAAACACGUUUUGUACUGUGAAACUGCAGAUGGCUCAUUACAACAGUUAUAAUUUAUUUGGAAUGUAAAAUUACUCGGAUAACCGUAGUAACUCUAGGGCUAAUACGUGAUAAAUGGUACGUGUUAGUCAAAAACCAUCAUUGGUUGAUAUAUAACAUUGCUUCCGAUCGCGUGGGUUAAAAACCAGCGACAAAUCAUUCAAGUUUCUGCCCUAUCAGCUUGACGGUAGGAUAUGGGCCUACCGUGGCUAUGACGGGUAACGGGGAAUCAGGGUUCGAUUCCGGAGAGGCAGCCUGAGGAACGGCUACCACAUCCACGGACGGCAGCAGGUGCGCAAAUUACCCACUUCUGACUCAGAGAGGUAGUGACAAGACAUAACGAUGUGCAGCCUAUGGUUGCCUAGUCGUAAUGAGAACAAUUUAAAAUCAUUAUCGACUAACAAGUGGAGGGCAAGUCUGGUGCCAGCAGCCGCGGUAAUACCAGCUCCACUAGCGUAUACUAAAGUUGCUGCUGUUAAAAAGCUCGUAGUUGGAUAUCAGUUAUGUGAGCGUGGACAGGGUGUGUAUACAUUCGGGAUCCAGACAACUUUUGUUGGCUCACCAAACUUAAUUCAGGACUGCCAUUCUGACCAUUUCUGUGGCUCGGGUUGGCGUGUCCUGAUCUUUUACUUUGAGAAAAUUAAAGUGCUCAAAGCAGGCUUUCGCCUGAAUGCAUUAGCAUGGAAUAAUAAAACACGACUUUGGCAUUAGGUUUCAGACCUAAGUGUUUUAUUGGUUUUUGGGCCAAAGUAAUGAUUGAUAGGAACACCUGGGGGUGCUAGUAUCAUCGGGUUAGAGGUUAAAUUCUAUGACCCCGGUGAGACUGACUUAUGCGAAAGCAUUCAUCAAGUGUGUUUUCUUUAAUCAAGAACUAAAGUUGGGGGAUCGAAGACGAUCAGAUACCGUCGUAGUCCCAACUAUAAACUAUGUCGACUAAGCAUUGGGCAAGUUUACUUCCUCAGAACUUUGAGAGAAAUCAAAGUUUUCGGACUCAGGGGGGAGUAUGCUCGCAAGGGUGAAACUUGAAGAAAUUGACGGAAGGGCACCACCAGAUGUGGAGCCUGCGGCUUAAUUUGACUCAACACGGUAAAACUUACCAGGACCAGACAUAGUAAGGAUUGACAGAUUCAAGUUCUUUCUUGAUUCUAUGCAUAGUGGUGCAUGGCCGUUCUUAGUUGGUGGAGCGAUUUGUCUGGUUAAUUCCGUUAACGAACGAGACCUCAGCCAUCUAACUAGCUGUCGCUACAUCGGUUAGCGUCACCAACACAUACAGCUUCUUAGAGGGAUUAUCUGUGAUGCAGCAGAUGGAAGAAUGAGGCAAUAACAGGUCAGUGAUGCCCUUAGAUGCUCUGGGCUGCACGCGCGCUACAAUGUUGCACGCAACGAGUUCAACCUUGCCUGAGAAGGCCGGGUAAUCUCGAAAAUGCAUCAAAGUUGGGAUAGAUGAUUGCAAUUGUUCAUCUUGAACAAGGAAUAUCUAGUAAACGCAAGUCAUCAACUUGCAUUGAUUACGUCCCUGCCCUUUGUACACACCGCCCGUCGCUUCUACCGAUUGAAUAAUACGGUCAACUGAGUGGAUGUUAGAGACGAUUUUCGGAUCGUUUCUGCAGAAGCUUCGUGAACCUUAUUAUUUAGAGGAAGGAAAAGUCGUAACAAGGUUACC
rnacentral:rRNA from 1 species